rnacentral:rRNA from 1 species
AGAGUUUGAUCAUGGCUCAGGAUGAACGCUAGCUACAGGCUUAACACAUGCAAGUCGAGGGGCAGCAUCAUCAAAGCUUGCUUUGAUGGAUGGCGGCCGGGCGCACGGGUGAGUAACACGUAUCCAACCUGCCGACAACACUGGGAUAGCCUUUCGAAAGAAAGAUUAAUACCGGAUGGUAUAGUUUUCCCGCAUGGGAUGAUUAUUAAAUAAUUUCGGUUGGUCGAUGGGGAUGCGUUCCUAG